GUGGGGAAUAUUGGACAAUGGGCGAAAGCCUGAUCCAGCCAUGCCGCGUGAGUGAUGAAGGCCUUAGGGUUGUAAAGCUCUUUCAGUAGGGAAGAUAAUGACGGUACCUACAGAAGAAGCCCCGGCUAACUUCGUGCCAGCAGCCGCGGUAAUACGAAGGGGGCUAGCGUUGUUCGGAUUUACUGGGCGUAAAGCGCACGUAGGCGGAUUGGUCAGUUAGAGGUGAAAUCCUGGAGCUCAACUCCAGAACUGCCUUUAAUACUGCCAGUCUAGAGUCCAGAAGAGGUGAGUGGAACUCCUAGUGUAGAGGGGGAAUUCGUAGAGAUUAGGAAGAACACCAGUGGCGAAGGCGGCUCACUGGUCUGGUACUGACGCUGAGGUGCGAAAGCGUGGGGAUCAAACAGGAUUAGAUACCCCGGUAGUCC
rnacentral:rRNA from 1 species